UACGAAGGAUCCAAGCGUUAUCCGGAUUUACUGGGCGUAAAGGGCGCGUAGGCGGCGCGGUAAGUCACUUGUGAAAUCUCUGAGCUUAACUCAGAACGGCCAAGUGAUACUGCAGUGCUAGAGUGUGGAAGGGGCAAUCGGAAUUCUUGGUGUAGCGGUGAAAUGCGUAGAUAUCAAGAGGAACACCUGAGGUGAAGACGGGUUGCUGGGCCAACACUGACGCUGAGGCGCGAAAGCCAGGGGAGCAAACGGG
rnacentral:rRNA from 1 species